rnacentral:tRNA from 1 species
GGUGCGAUAGUUCAGUUUGGUUAGAAUAUCGGCUUGUCACGCCGGGGGUCACGGGUUCAAGUCCCGUUCGCACCG